rnacentral:rRNA from 1 species
AAUAAUUUAUUGUAGUAAACUUGACCUAAAUUAUAUAACAUUCAAAACAUUUUUAAAUAUAGUAAGAGUGAUUGAAAUUUAUUAAAUAUAAACCUAAGAAAAGUACCGUGAGGGAACAUAAUCAAUUAAAAACUAGAAUAAAUUAAUCUUUGUACCUUUUGUAUCAUGGUUUAGCUAGAUACUUAUUUUGAAUUAAAAUUCUCGAAAUCUGAUGAGUUAUUUCUGUUCUGUGUUUUAGCAUAAAAAGAGUAGUUGUAGCAAAAACUUUCUUAGAAGUGGAAAUGGAAAUGAAAUUUUAUUCGUAUCAGAUGAUAGCUAGUUCUUCUAUAAAGGCAUAUAAGUGCUCUAAAUUAAUUUAAUUUAUGUAAUAAAUUUAUAUAAAAAAUUUAAUUUAACUAUAUUCUCGAGGAUAAGCUCGAGAAUUGAAAUUAUUUUUGCAUUUUAUUUUUAUUAAAAUUUAGGCUUGAAAAUAGCCACAAUUUUGAGUUUGUUAUAAUUUAUUGACAGAUUAAAAAAAUAAUAAAUUUGCUUACAAUAAAUGAAGAAAACUUAAUAAUUUGAUUAAGUUGAAUUAAUGCUAAAAUGAGUAUUACACUACUAUACAAUUUUUUUACAGUUUAUAUGUUAAAAUUUUUAAAUAUAUUUAACACAAAAGUCACAAAAAGGAACUCGGCAAACAUAUAUUCUGCCUGUUUAGCAAAAACAUGGCUCCUUGAUACUAAAUAAUAAGGAGUCGGACCUGCCCAGUGAAUUUUUUAACGGCCGCGGUACUCUGACCGUGCAAAGGUAGCAUAAUCAUUUGCCUUAUAAUUGAAGGCUAGUAUGAAUGGUUUGACAAGAAUAUAGCUGUCUCUUUGUGAUUUAAUAGAAUUUUAUUUUUAGGUGAAGAAGCCUAAAUUAAAUUAAAAGACAAGAAGACCCUAUCGAGCUUAUAAAGAAUUUAAUAGAAUUUAGAUUAAUACUUUUAAAAAAUUAUCUGUUAAACAUUUUAGUUGGGGCGACUGAGGAACAUAAAAAGCUUCCUUUAAACUUAUUUUAAUAUUCAUACUAGAAUUGAUCCAAAACAUUUUGAUUAAAGGAAUUAGUUACCGUAGGGAUAACAGCAUUAUCUUUUUUAAGAGCUCAUAUCGAAAAAAAGGUUUGUGACCUCGAUGUUGGACCAGAAUAUCCUAAAGAUGCAGCAGUCUUUAAGGGUUGGUCUGUUCGACCAUUAAAAUUCUACGUGAUCUGAGUUCAGACCGGCGUGAGCCAGGUCAGUUUCUAUCUUUAAUUACUUAGGUAAAUUUAGUACGAAAGGACCAAUUUAUCAUAAAAUAAUAUUAUUAAUUGAUGCAAUCUAAUUAGGAAUUAAAUGAAAUCAAAUUAGCAAAACUAAUGCAAUUGA